CGUAAAGCGAGCGCAGGCGGUUGUUUAGGUUUGAUGUGAAAGCUUUCGGCUUAACCGAAGAAGUGCAUCGGAAACCCGGGCGACUUGAGUGCAGAAGAGGACAGUGGAACUCCAUGUGUAGCGGUGGAAUGCGUAGAUAUAUGGAAGAACACCAGUGGCGAAGGCGGCUGUCUGGUCUGCAACUGACGCUGAGGCUCGAAAGCAUGGGUAGCGAACAGGAUUAGAUACCCUGGUAGUCCAUGCCGUAAACGAUGAGUGCUAGGUGUUGGAGGGUUUCCGCCCUUCAGUGCCGGAGCUAACGCAUUAAGCACUCCGCCUGGGGAGUACGACCGCAAGGUUGAAACUCAAAGGAAUUGACGGGGGCCCGCACAAGCGGUGGAGCAUGUGGUUUAAUUCGAAGCUACGCGAAGAACCUUACCAGGUCUUGACAUCUUGCGCUAACCUUAGAGAUAAGGCGUUCCCUUCGGGGACGCAAUGACAGGUGGUGCAUGGUCGUCGUCAGCUCGUGUCGUGAGAUGUUGGGUUAAGUCCCGCAACGAGCGCAACCCUUGUUACUAGUUGCCAGCAUUAAGUUGGGCACUCUAGUGAGACUGCCGGUGACAAACCGGAGGAAGGUGGGGACGACGUCAGAUCAUCAUGCCCCUUAUGACCUGGGCUACACACGUGCUACAAUGGACGGUACAACGAGUCGCAAGCUCGCGAGAGUAAGCUAAUCUCUUAAAGCCGUUCUCAGUUCGGACUGUAGGCUGCAACUCGCCUACACGAAGUCGGAAUCGCUAGUAAUCGCGGAUCAGCAUGCCGCGGUGAAUACGUUCCCGGGCCUUGUACACACCGCCCGUCACACCAUGGGAGUUUGUAAC
rnacentral:rRNA from 1 species